GUGGGACAAGGGUCUGGAAGGUUCCUCCUUUCCUCCUGGGUCUCUCAGCAGAAGGAACACAGAACUUUCUGGCGUUCUCAUUCCUCACCCACUCACCCACCACACUGUGCACCAGUAAGACAGACGUCCACUCCUUCCAAAUGACAGACGUUCUCCAUCUUCCAGGUGAGACCAUCGGGUGUACCAUUGAUAGCGGCAAACAUGCACUUACGACCUUGGGAGAAGACAGCAUGCCUCGGAGACUACUAGGACAACUAUCAGGGAAAUGAUACCAACAAUUUGGAGUGUGUUUCUCAGCCAAGGUCCCCAUGAGCCAAACCAAAUAAAAUAAACAAAAGAAAACAGGUCAAU